CCCGCUAAGACGCCAAGAAGCUUGCACCCAAAUCAUCAGUCCAUACGAGAUUGACUCCAUCAUCAGCCCUUCUGCUGUCCGUCUUAAACUCCCAGCUUCUAUGCGUAUCCAUCCCACUUUCCAUGUGUCUCUGUUAAAACCCCUUUUCUCCAGUCCACUUUGCCCUCCAGUCAAUCCCCCUCUACCCCCCCCGGGUCGUGGACGGUCAGCCUGUCUACACGGUCAAUCGGAUUCUGGAUGUUCGACACCGGGGUCGCGGUUUACAGUACCUGGUACACUGGGAGGGAUAUGGCCCAAAGGAACAUUCUUUGGUCCCUCGUCAGUUCAUCCUGGAUCCAUCCCUCAUCUCAGAUUUCAACAGGGCCAGGAGGGGUGAGUUCUCCGGCAUGCUGGGGCAGCGUUGAGGGGGGGGGUACUGUCACGAUCAUGCUUGGCUGUUGCUGUUUUCUGAGUCUUAGGUGAGGGCGGGGCAGGUUUCCUGGGACGGAGGCUGGAUCACUCCUGCCAUCACACCUGCUAAUAAUCAACCCUCGUCUGAACACCCUUCUUAAGGAUCUGCAGGAGCUCCAGUCUUCGCCAGAUUAUCUUGCUUCUAGAGUGCUUACCUCCCGUUGCCGGAAUCGGCUACACGUUUGGAGCCUUCACCGCCUUCCGCUUCGCCCCCUGCCUGCUCGCCCCACCACGGACUGUAGCCUCAGCAUACAGCCAGCUCCCUCCUCUCCUAUCUGGACUCCCCUCUACUACAUGCCCCUCCUUUCCUGAGGGUCCUCACCCCCCACCCCCCUGAAGAUCUUCAACAUUUCUACCCAAUAAACAUUGUUCUCACUCCCACCUCUGCCUACAGUAUCUGCAUUUGGGCCCUCACAUUACAGGGGACGACUAGUCCAGCUAGCCGUGACAAUGUAAUGUAAUCCUGAAUUCAUGUAUUUUUUCAAUUCUAUAUACAUUUUAAAAGUAAUUAUUUUGUCAUAAAGAACAGGGUAAGGAUGCGUGUAGCUCCUAGUGGUAAUACAAUCUUAAGGAUACCUAUCAUUUCAAGGCCACAUUCUAAGACACACUCGGAAAGCGAGGGGGUGAGCUGAAUUUUUUUACUGCUUGUAGUGUGCAACCUCGCCACUAGAUAUCACUAAAUCUUAUACACUGUUUAUUAAGAAAAUUCCAUUAAAAUCAUUAGACUGUUUUCCCAACUAGAUUGACAGCCUCUGUUUUCUAAGAAAGUGUAUAAAACACCUGCAUAUGUCCAAAGGCAAAACUGUCAGUUAACUUUUUUCAUUUUCAAACAUUAAAAUGAAAUAUUUUUGUU